rnacentral:rRNA from 1 species
AUGAAAAGGUCCAGUGUGUCAUAUGUUGCUUAUUUCUGGUUGGCUGCUGCUCGCUGGCAGUUGAGUAAAUGUGUAGCAAUCAACGUUUUACCGUGGUUCAGACGUCUGGUCCAGGAGAGCUCAUUGCUCAUCCAGUAUUACACUCGCGCGCCCACUGCGUGUUCAUUUCCUUUGGUUUUCCCACUUCAUUCUCCACGCAAAGCAGACGACACGUCGAGCAGGAAGACGGACGCCCAGGGCGCGAUCGACUCGCUGCUGGGCCGCCUCACCACGGUCCUUGUCAGCGAGGCGCAGCUGCUGGGGGGCCUCCGCGGCGACGUCGAGUUCAUCAGCGACGAGAUGGAGAGCAUGAACGGCCUGCUCAUGCACCUUGCCGAGUCCCACAACCGCGACAGCCAGGUCCGGGCAUGGAUGAAGCAAGUGGCUGGCCUCAGCCGCGACUGCGAGGGCAACGUCGAGCUCUACGCCCAGUACGUCGGAGGUGCUGGCCCUGGCGCCAGAAAGGGCGUCCUGGGCUCCUUGCUCCGGAUGCUCCGCUUUGUGCACGGAAGGUGUACGAGCACCCGUACGUGGUGA